AUCCGUUCCCAUCUAGGUGCCAGAGAGUCAUGCCAGCGAGCCCCGGGCCCAUCCUGACCUCCUGGGAGGCGUCAGCACUCCAGAGCUCCAAGGUCACCCCGCCACACUUCAGAGGCCUGCCUGCCCCACCCCAGAGCCCUCUGUGCAGGGCCGCCUCCCCCCAGCCAGACCUGCUGUAGCCCCAGAGGACGGCCACCGCCAGAAGCCUCUCCCAGGACUCAGACUUUUCCAGAAAAGGAAGUCAUCAACCCCUGUGACCAGAAGACCUCUUUGGACUGUGACCUUUUGACAUCCCCUCGUGGUAGAAGAAGAAAGUUCAUCUUGACCAAGCCAGACACCCAUCAGCCCACUGUGGGGAUGACCAGCCCUGGCUGGACACACUGCUUUCCCCUCAGAGCCUAAACCACUCUUGAAACUGUUCAUGGACCACAGACCUUCGUGGGUCUGAGAGCCGUGAAGGGCUCCUCUCCGCUCCGCCCGCAUCCUUGGCACACGGACGGUGACCAGGAGUUGGCCCGGGGCUCCCCUCCUCUGCCGCCCACACGGCCCGCCUUCGGCCCAAGCCUCGGCCCUCGUGCCCACAGCUUCCGGAACGUGGCGCUUCUAAUCGUGGGCGUCCCGGGGUCUUCCUGAGCUGACCCGGAUCCCCCUUCUCUGCAGGUUAGUGUGUCUCCAUGUCUUCGCUUCGCGCACUGAAAUCUCACGAGAUGGGUCUCCCUGACCCGAGGGAGCCCUUGUCAGCCUCUGUCCUUGUUUCUGCCGUCACUGCUGAACAGUCUCUCAGCAGAUUUUCCCCGCUCUUACAUACCUGAUUUAAAUAUAACUCUCAGGAGCUCUCUGGCGGCUCAGAAGGUUGAGGAUCCGGUGCGGUCACUGCCAUAGCUCAAGUCAUGGCCGUGACGCGGGUCUGAUCCCUGGCCCAAGAACUUCUGCAUGCAG
rnacentral:lncRNA from 1 species